AUAGGAUGCCGCUUGCCUGCCGCUGGCCGCCAACUCGGUCGCUGCGGCCUCUUGAUAUCACGCACAGCCACAGCAACGGCCCUCUCUCUGCCUCGCGCUGCAGCUAGCUGGCCUUCAUUGUCGCGCCCCUGCCCUCCAGGCUUCCACCUCUCCCCCCCUCCCCUCCAGCGAAGUAAGGGAUGGCGCCGACGUACCGGCCUUACGCGGCGGAGUACGGGGCGGUGGAGCGGAAGGUGCCGGGGGCGCGGUGGGUGGCGUCGGCGGCGGCGGCGUCGUCGGUGGCGUGGUUCGUGGGGGACCAGGCGGAGAUGAAGCGGCGGGGGAGGGUGGCCAGCUACAAGGCCUACGCCGUGGAGGGCAAGGUGAAGGCGUCCCUCCGCCGGGGCCUCCGCUGGAUCAAGGCCAAGUGCUCCCACAUCGUCCACCGCUAGCCCGCCCGCCCGCCGUCUUCUUCUUCCUCCUCCUUGGUAUUGGCCCUGCUCUGUCUCCCAUGGAUUCGGACCGCGCUCCACCACCACCGUGUCCUUGCGUGCUGUUCUCAUGGGUGCUGGCUCGCCGGAUCCUGCAGGUGGCUCAUCAGGCGGGCGGCCGACCGAUGGUGGCGAGAACGGAUGCGCGAGGGAUGCAGCCGAGGGACGGACUCAUCGAACGUUCCUUGCGAGUAGAUUACUCACUAGUGUAAGAUCAUCAUGCAUGCAUGGGUCCUUUUUUUCUUCUUUUCUUUUUCUAGUUGUUCUGUUGUCGAGAGAGAGGGGGAGAAUGUUUGUUUCCGGGGCUGCAAGCAACGUUGGCCAUCAAUCAAGCAUCACACGCGGUUCCUUUC